GUGCCUACGGGAGGCAGCAGUAGGGAAUUUUCGUCAAUGGGCGCAAGCCUGAACGAGCAAUGCCGCGUGAACGAGGAAGGUCUUCGGAUCGUAAAGUUCUGUUGAAGGGGAAAAAGAGCGGAGAGAGGAAAUGGUCUCCGAUUGAUAUUGCCCUUCGAGGAAGUCAUGGCUAACUACGUGCCAGCAGCCGCGGUAAUACGUAGGUGGCGAGCGUUAUCCGGAUUUAUUGGGUUUAAAGGGUGCGUAGGCGGGCUGUUAAGUCAGCGGUAAAAGCCCGGGGCUCAACCCCGGCGAGCCGUUGAAAC
rnacentral:rRNA from 1 species